GUGCUCACUUCGGCAGCACAUAUACUAAAAUUAGAACAAUACAGAGAAGAUUAGCAUGGCCCCUGCUCAAGGAUGACUUGCAAAUUCAUGAAACGUUCCAUAUUUUU
ensembl:snRNA U6 U6 spliceosomal RNA